rnacentral:rRNA from 1 species
AUUAACAAAAUAAAUUAGAUAGACUUUCACGAAAGGUGGUGAGCUAAUCAUAUAUACGUCUGUAUAACUUUACGUAGCAUAGUAUAUAUUAAUGUUUGAUUAGGGGUGAUAGGCUUUUCAAGCUGCCUGAUAUCUUGUUCCACAUGAAAAGUAUUUAGUACAUACACAUAUUUAAAAAGUUAAGCUUUUAAAUUUUAAUUAAGUAUAUUAUUCUUUUUUAAGCAUAGUAUAAUAACUUGCUAUUAAAAAAAAUUAAUAUUAAUUAUGUUUUCUUAUUUUACGUAAUGUGGCAAUAGCAUUUUAUCUAAUUAGACAAUGUUAAUAUUAGUAGUGAUAGUAAAUAUAUUAAAGGAACUCGGCAAAAUUCUGCUCAACUGUUUAUCAAAAACAUAGCUAUAUGUAUUAAUAUGUAGUUAUUUCUGCUCAAUGAAUAUUAAAUAGCCGCAGUACCCUGACUGUGCAAAGGUAGCAUAAUCAGUUGGCUUAUAAUUGAAGUCUGGUAUGAAUGAAAAUAUGGGUGGAAGCUGUCUUAUUGUAUUUUCUUUAACUUAUUAAACAAGUGAAAAUACUUGUGUUUAUAAAAUAGACGAGAAGACCCUAGAAACUUGAAAUGUUUUUUGUUGGGGCGACAUGAUUACAUAGAACUAAUCUUAUUAACAUGACACAUAUAGUAAGAAUAAGUUACUCUAGGGAUAACAGCAUAAUUUUAACAGCUUGUGACCUCGAUGUUGGACUAGGUAUCUUAUCCUUAAGACAAGGACAUAGAAUGCUCUGUUCGAGCAAUAACACCUACAUGAUCUGAGUUCAGACCG